CUACUGGAAACGGUGGCUAAUACCGCAUAACGUCGCAAGACCAAAGAGGGGGACCUUCGGGCCUCUUGCCAUCAGAUGUGCCCAGAUGGGAUUAGCUUGUUGGUGAGGUAACGGCUCACCAAGGCGACGAUCCCUAGCUGGUCUGAGAGGAUGACCAGCCACACUGGAACUGAGACACGGUCCAGACUCCUACGGGAGGCAGCAGUGGGGAAUAUUGCACAAUGGGCGCAAGCCUGAUGCAGCCAUGCCGCGUGUAUGAAGAAGGCCUUCGGGUUGUAAAGUACUUUCAGCGGGGAGGAAGGUGUUGUGGUUAAUAACCGCAGCAAUUGACGUUACCCGCAGAAGAAGCACCGGCUAACUCCGUGCCAGCAGCCGCGGUAAUACGGAGGGUGCAAGCGUUAAUCGGAAUUACUGGGCGUAAAGCGCACGCAGGCGGUCUGUCAAGUCGGAUGUGAAAUCCCCGGGCUCAACCUGGGAACUGCAUUCGAAACUGGCAGGCUUGAGUCUUGUAGAGGGGGGUAGAAUUCCAGGUGUAG
rnacentral:rRNA from 1 species